rnacentral:rRNA from 2 species
AUGUGCGAUCAUACCAGCACUAAUGCACCAGAUCCCAUCAGAACUCCGUUGUAAAGCGUGCUUGGGUGAGAGUAGUACUAGGAUGGGUGACCUCCUGGGAAGUCCUCGUGUUGCACCUC